rnacentral:rRNA from 1 species
GACGAACGCUGGCGGCGUGCUUAACACAUGCAAGUCGAACGGUGAAGGGACCGGUUUUUGCUGGUUCUGGAUGAGUGGCGAACGGGUGAGUAACACGUGAGUAACCUGCCCCCUUCUUCUGGAUAACCGCAUGAAAGUGUGGCUAAUACGGGAUAUUCUGCGCCUGCUGCAUGGUGGGUGUGGGAAAGAUAUUGUUUCGGUGGGGGAUGGGCUCGCGGCCUAUCAGCUUGUUGGUGGGGUGAUGGCCUACCAAGGCGGUGACGGGUAGCCGGCCUGAGAGGGUGGACGGUCACACUGGGACUGAGACACGGCCCAGACUCCUACGGGAGGCAGCAGUGGGGAAUAUUGCACAAUGGGCGCAAGCCUGAUGCAGCGGCGCCGCGUGAGGGAUGGAGGCCUUCGGGUUGUAAACCUCUUUCGCCAGUGAAGCAGGCCUGUCCCUUUUGUGGGUGGGUUGACGGUAGCUGGAUAAGAAGCGCCGGCUAACUACGUG